rnacentral:rRNA from 1 species
UACAGAGGUCUCAAGCGUUGUUCGGAUUCACUGGGCGUAAAGGGUGCGUAGGUGGCGAGGUAAGUCGGAUGUGAAAGCUCGGAGCUCAACUCCGAAAUGGCAUUGGAAACUACCUUGCUCGAGGGUUGGAGGGGGGACUGGAAUACUUGGUGUAGCAGUGAAAUGCGUAGAUAUCAAGUGGAACACCAGUGGCGAAGGCGAGUCCCUGGACAACUCCUGACACUGAGGCACGAAAGCUAGGGGAGCAAACAGG